rnacentral:RNase_MRP_RNA from 1 species
UCCUCGCCCAACAAUUCGCAGUCGAAGCUCACGUACAGACAGCCACUUGGUAGUCAUCAACACACAGCUUUGGGAGAAAGUCCCCGGACGCUUCAAUAGCACCUGCUGAAAAGCGCCGCCACAGAAGCACAUGCGGCUCACCUCGACCAACCUCCAUCCCUCAUCGCACCCUGCCUUGUCGUCUGCACUCUUGCUUUAAGGCUUGUCAGCUCGGACCAUACCAUGCUUCGAGACCGGUACUUCGGUGCUGCCUUUCACGAGGGGACGAUGAUAUGAGUCUGCGCUCCUGGCGUGCUGAUCUCGCUGCUGGCUUGCUGACAUUCAGGAGGAGACAUGGCAGGUAUUGUUGUGAGCAAGUUGGAUUCAAGGUUGGCGCAGAGGGCCAUUCGUCAAAAUCGAUAGUUAUGCGAAUGCCUGACUGAUCUCUCCGAACGCGCUUCACUCGACUUGCAAUCGGAGACUAAGUCAGGUUACUCGAUGGGGCUUAUUCUUGAUGCGAGG